GCCACCCUGAGUAAGUUAAACAGGGCUUGGAAGCAGGCAGCCCAAAGGAGAGAGGGCUGGCUCUGAUAUCAACCUCGAGAUAUCAGAUUACAAGACUGAAAUGGGAGCCUCUAAGUUCCUUAAACAAGCGGCCUUCAAAAUGCAGAGUGUGCACUCUAGGGGCACUAGCUCCUCUCCUCUACUAAGCCAAAAUCUCAAAGGCUAGCAUACAUUGGAGCAUCUUCCCUUGAUGGAACAGCCCUCUCAGGGAGCCACAUAGAAAACAGAACACAGACAUGAUGCUUGGAGCUAUAGCAGCCAUCUCGCAAUCAUGAGGAAAGGCCAAGAGAAUUUCUGAGUCACCAAACCCAGCACUGUUCAGCUGCUGAGCCAAUCCCUACAGCCUCCUAUCUCUAGACCUUGUGCUCUGUGAGAAAACUAAAACCCCAUUUUGUUUAAUGCCCUCCUGCUCCGAGAGUUCAGGUUUUCUAUUCCUUACAGUGGAAUGCAUUUCAAACUGAUAUAACUGAUCCCUCAGCCAAAUACUAUUCCCAGCAGAUGGUUAGGGUUGGCUGUGUACAGCUAUGCAAACUGCACACUCCGGGAGACACCAUUCAGAAUGCCUUUGGACUUGUGUAGUGCAAAACCUGCAUUAAGAUGCAAGGUAGCCAUGGAGGUAGUGUGAUCUUUAAAGCCAGACCUUGGUAAAACUCAGUUCCAUUACUUACUUGCCUAAUUGGUCCUGGACCAGUUAGUAACCUCUCUGAGCCUCGGUUUCCUCCCUUUAAAGAGGAAUGAUAAUGCCUCUUUGGGAGGAUUCUUGUAAAGACUAAAGAUAUGUGUAAAACACCUGGCACAGAGCAGAUACUCUAUAAAUAGCAUCUAAAUACUAUAACAGAAAACCCAUAUGAUCUGUGCUGGCGGCUGUUUGGAGCACCCUGCAUUGAACGGCUGCAGUGAUUACAAGGGUCUCCUCCUCCCACAGCUGCAGUGUGGCAGGCCCAGUCUACUGCAGGGAACAUCUGUGAAAGGGUGCAGGCAGGGCAACGAACAGGCACAGGGAGGAGAGGGGUACAUCAGGGAAGCACGCUGAGAGGCCACCCUCCUUCAUUUGAUUCUCUGCACUUGUGCACCUGCUGCAUGCUACCAUUUAUGGGACCGGCAGCUUCAUCAAGGGGCCCCCCCGCACCCCACCAUGAUGAAGCUUUAAAUACAAGUAUUACCAGACCAAGGAGCUCUAACAGAUGCCAUGGAAACAGGCCAUUCUUUUUGUUUCAAGUGCUGUGUUUACGGGAGGAAGAUCUGACACGGCAGCUUUGGCCAGCCUAGGUGCAGCCAUCAACAUCAAGACUGCUGGGGAAGGGGGCAGGUUCCAGAGACAAUCCAUCCCGCUUACUCUAGUCUUCAAGGCUGAAAAAGAAUUUGGCUUCUGCACCUCAGUUGAAGCACCAGGACUUGAGUGAUGAUUUGGGUGUCAUCCAGAAAGACAUUCUCUGGUCCAGAUCCCUUCAUUCUUUGUAGGAACAUUUAUUGAGCUCCUACUGUUCUAGGACCUGCAGGCCCUUCCACCACCAUGUGAACAAGCCCGGACUAGCCUCCUGGAAGGCACAAGACCACAUGGAGAGAGGACCCAACAAUGCAGCUGCUGCAGCUGAGACGCCAGCCAUGGAGGUGAGGCCAUCCUAGACCUUCCAGCCCUGCUGAGUCAGCUCAGACCUGGCAGUCUGCCCAGCUGACCCACAGGAUCAUGAGAAAGAAUAAGUGUAUGUGUCUGUAAGUCACUAAGUUA
rnacentral:lncRNA from 1 species